UACGUAGGGGGCGAGCGUUGUCCGGAAUUAUUGGGCGUAAAGAGCGUGUAGGCGGUUUGGUAAGUCUGCCGUGAAAACCCGGGGCUCAACCCCGGGCGUGCGGUGGAUACUGCCAGGCUAGAGGAUGGUAGAGGCGAGUGGAAUUCCCGGUGUAGCGGUGAAAUGCGCAGAUAUCGGGAGGAACACCAGUAGCGAAGGCGGCUCGCUGGGCCAUUCCUGACGCUGAGACGCGAAAGCUAGGGGAGCGAACAGGAUUAGAAACCCCCGUAGUCC
rnacentral:rRNA from 1 species